rnacentral:lncRNA from 7 species
CCGCCGCCGCCGCACCCGGUCAUUUCAUGUUCGGCGCCGCAGCCAUCGACCGCCCCGACAACAACACCUCAUCCGCCAGGCCCUUUUGAUCCAACUUCUACUUCGCCAGCUGCUCUUUAAUUUGCUUGUUAUUCGUCAGAUCAACAACAAAAGCUACGCGCUUAUCUUAUUAAUUUUUACUACUGCUCAUUUUUUGAGAGGUGAAUCGUCAUAUCAAAUCCAAAUUACAAGCUAUCUCUAUCUAUCUAUCUAUGUUCCACAGUUCCACACACACAUAUAUAUAGCUUAUUAGUGCUAGCUAGCCACAACAAAAGCUAUGAGCAUGCACCCAGUACAGUAGUAGCUAGCUAGAGGAGGUGAACAAGAGUUCUUGCUGCUACCGAUUCAUCUCCGGGGUACGUAUCAUCGGUGAAUAAGGACUUGGGGUUGGGACGAUGGUGGAUGAAAACGAAGACCCUGCCGCGCGCCU